rnacentral:lncRNA from 10 species
AGCAACCUGCUCGGGACCCCUCUCUGUGACUGUGAGCUGUUCUGUUCUUUUGCCUAUUAAACUCCUGCUCCAAACUCACUCGAUGUGUGUGUGCAUGUCCUUGACCUCAAUAUCUGGUCGUGUGACCAAGAACCUCAGUAUUCACCCCAGACAACAAGGCUGCUUCAUUUUGAGGGCUCGUCUGGGAUUUGAAGGUGACUUCAUCAGAAUGCUUUGCUGCUAAAGGGAUCUGCAGUCCAGCUGAAAACCUGCCCUUGCCUGAGCCCAGCCACUUUCUCCCAGAGAAAACUGGAGAACCUAAACAUGAUUGUGAACAGAAACCAUCAAGCUUCAGAUGGUGCUGAAAAUGGAGCCGAAAAUGAAACUGCCCUCCUACGAGGGACCCUUAAAUCAACCCCAGGAGGAGCCCUAGCUGCUGUUCCCCACACAACGCCACUCUCCAGCAGGAAGUAGCCAGAAGAAAUCGUCACCCAGUUUCCCCUAGCAGCAGUUAUGGAUUUCAUUCCUGAGGGGGGAAAUAUGUUAUAGGAGGCAGAAAGAAAUGAUUUAGGUAGACAUUUAGGGUAAAGUGAGUCCCCAGCAGAAAACUUUCCUUUUAACAAAAAGCAGCUCAAAAAUAGCUCCCUUUCUAACCUCAUGCAGUUCAAAAAAAAAGCACUUCUCUUCUAACAACAAGCAGCCUGAAAGUUCAGGCUGUAAAACACAGAGAAGAUGGCUUGAGCACAGAAAGGGAGGGGGAAGUCUCCUGGGUAAUCACCAAACUUCACAUUUACACAGUGGGCCCCAGUAAAACAGUGGGUCUUAAUAAGCAUAUUCCUUCCCUUUAGGCGCAGUAAGAUUGAGGAGCUAAAAACAGACUUGGGUGGAUGUCUGCAGCUGCAAGAAGAUGUGUGGGAACAGACACAGAAACUCUCCCUCCCAGAUAAGCAAGACAAAGAAACACAGAAUAAGAGUCCAUCUAUGUGGUCAGAGAAUGGGAUAAGAGCUGAUUUAAAAAAACUCUGCUCUAUAUAGAAGGCACACCUGGUCCCAACCAAACCACUGGACCCUAGGAGGAUAAGACCUCCUCUGCUCAUGAGCCCCCUCCUCAGUAGCCCAUUUAUAAAAACCCUGACAAUUUUACUACCACUUGGCAACCCGCUCGGGACCCCUCUCUGUGAUGGAGAGCUGUUCUUUUCUUUUGCCUAUUAAACUCCUGCUCCAAA